GAUGAACGCUGGCGGCGUGCCUAAUACAUGCAAGUCGAGCGAAUGGAUUAAGAGCUUGCUCUUAUGAAGUUAGCGGCGGACGGGUGAGUAACACGUGGGUAACCUGCCCAUAAGACUGGGAUAACUCCGGGAAACCGGGGCUAAUACCGGAUAACAUUUUGAACCGCAUGGUUCGAAAUUGAAAGGCGGCUUCGGCUGUCACUUAUGGAUGGACCCGCGUCGCAUUAGCUAGUUGGUGAGGUAACGGCUCACCAAGGCAACGAUGCGUAGCCGACGUGGGAGGGGGGUCGGCCCACCCGGGACUGAGACACGGACCAGACUCCUACGGGAGGCAGCAGUAGGGAAUCUUCCGCAAUGGACGAAAGUCUGACGGAGCAACGCCGCGUGAGUGAUGAAGGCUUUCGGGUCGUAAAACUCUGUUGUUAGGGAAGAACAAGUGCUAGUUGAAUAAGCUGGCACCUUGACGGUACCUAACCAGAAAGCCACGGCUAACUACGUGCCAGCCGCCGCUGUAA
rnacentral:rRNA from 1 species